rnacentral:ribozyme from 2 species
ACGUUAAACUAACUGUAGAGGUCCAAAGUCCUCGGCUGCAAACGCAGAAUAGUGAUGGGCGU